GAACUGAAGAGUUUGAUCAUGGCUCAGAUUGAACGCUGGCGGCAGGCCUAACACAUGCAAGUCGAGCGGAUGAAGGGAGCUUGCUCCUGGAUUCAGCGGCGGACGGGUGAGUAAUGCCUAGGAAUCUGCCUGGUAGUGGGGGAUAACGUCCGGAAACGGGCGCUAAUACCGCAUACGUCCUGAGGGAGAAAGUGGGGGAUCUUCGGACCUCACGCUAUCAGAUGAGCCUAGGUCGGAUUAGCUAGUUGGUGGGGUAAAGGCCUACCAAGGCGACGAUCCGUAACUGGUCUGAGAGGAUGAUCAGUCACACUGGAACUGAGACACGGUCCAGACUCCUACGGGAGGCAGCAGUGGGGAAUAUUGGACAAUGGGCGAAAGCCUGAUCCAGCCAUGCCGCGUGUGUGAAGAAGGUCUUCGGAUUGUAAAGCACUUUAAGUUGGGAGGAAGGGCAGUAAGUUAAUACCUUGCUGUUUUGACGUUACCAACAGAAUAAGCACCGGCUAACUUCGUGCCAGCAGCCGCGGUAAUACGAAGGGUGCAAGCGUUAAUCGGAAUUACUGGG
rnacentral:rRNA from 1 species